UUAUUCAGUAUAUUUUCUAAUAUUUCAUUCAGCAAUUUCAAGGAACAAGCGAUCGAGUACGUGAAGCAAGCCGCUCGAGAAGAACACCAAGAUCAGAGAAGCCAUCUCCCAGAAAUUCACAGAGUACCUCCGCCGCGCGGAGGAGAUCCGCGCCGUUCUCGACGAAGGAGGAUCGGGGCCCGGAUCUAACGGCUUCUGCAGCAUAACCAAUGUUAUCAUUCGAAUAUGAGCAGUUUGGGUGUGUGUUUUGUAGAGAGUAUGGGCGACGAAAUCAUGAACAAAUCUCUGAAACAAAGAUCGAAGAUCAAACCCAUUGUUAGGGUUUCUUAUGGAUCUCUCUCUAUCUCUGAACCUUUAUUAACCUGGAGGUUUGAGGUAGCAAUGUCGGCUUCGAGAGGUGGUGGUCCUGACCAGGGACCGUCCCAACCUCAGCAGCGACGGAUCAUGAGGACUCAGACCGUUGGUAAUCUCGGAGAAUCAUUCGAUAGUCAAGUCGUUCCGUCCUUGCGUUGAGAUUGCCCCUAUUCUCCAUGUUGCUAAUGAGGUUGAAUCUAGCAACCCUAGAGUUUCUUAUCUCUGUCGGUUCUAUGCGUUCGAGAAAGCUCACAGGCUGGAUCCCACCUCCAGUGGAAGAGGUGUUCGGCAGUUUAAGACUGCACUCUUACAGCGUCUUGAAAGAGUGAUCCUUUAUUUUAAAAUAGCCCUGCUUAGCUUGUGCUUGUGUCAGAUUUAGGAAGAUCUCUUUGUUUUAAACUAAAUGUGCUCUUACCUUUUCUUUAAUUUUUUGUGCAGGAACAUGAUUCUACACUGAUGGGCAGGGUUGAGAAAAGUGAUGCCCGUGAGAUGCAGAGCUUUUAUCAACAUUACUAUAAGAAGUAUAUUCAAGCUUUGCAAAAUGCUGCUGAUAAGGCCAACCGUGCUCAGCUGACAAAGGCAUACCAAACUGCUAAUGUUUUGUUUGAGGUGUUGAAGGCUGUUUAUCUUACACAGUCUAUUAAGGUUGACCAAAAGGUAAUGUUUUCUCUUUGAUACAUUUAUCUUUUUUCCCAUCUCCUGUGCAACGCUACAAUGAUGUUAGUUGUUUUUUCGGAUUAGAUACGUACAAAGCUAAUGCUUUGAUUGUAAAAGAGGGAGGCGGAGAGUUUGUAGGAGUUCUAACCUUAUAUAUAUAUUCUAAUUAUAUGUAAUGCAAAAAGGGGUUUGAGAAUGACUCAGAAUCGAGGCAAGUGUUUUGGCUGCUGAAAGAGCGUGAGCUGACGCCAAGCAAUUCCAACAUCUUGGACGGUCGUUACGAUGUCUUCGGCGGCUACGUUACUCAAAAUGAAGAUUUUCUGGCUGAUCUUAAAGUCGAUGAUGUCACUGAGUUCAUUCAAGUUGUCUCCGGUUGAGAAGGAAUAUGUUCUUGCACAAGAGAAAACAGAAAAGCAUCAUGCACAUCUACCAUUCUUGCUGCUCUCAAGUAUGGACGCUGUUCAUCCACCGUGGAGGUGGAGGUACGGCUUCUCCGGUUUUGGGAAGCCAGAAACAUUAAACGUGGUGGCCACCUCAUGGGAGUAGAUAUGCUUCUUCUGGAUUCUAAGGCGAUGCUGAUACCCGCCACCAUCAACGUGAACCGUCUUCCCACCUACCGGGGACACUUGAAGGUAGAUACCCGCUACAAGAUCGUUUAGGGUACUGUUAUACGAGCUGCAAAUCCAGCACAAACCUCGAGUUCAGAAGAUUCCUCACAAGAGCUAUCAAGUCCAGAAGAUUCCACCGAGUCGCAAGAUCUACCAAGUACGCCUUUGACAUCAGAAAAUAGUCUUGAGAAAGCAGAGUCUGCAGCAAAAGCUCUUGCAGUUGCUGAUUCCAAAGUGUUCGAAGCCAAAGAGGCAUCCCAAGUUGCAGAUACGGGCCCAAAGAAGUCUCUGGCCGAUGUGCUAAAAGGCGAAACUGUUGAACUACGGUAGAGCUUUAUACCUUGUGGUCCGGUUCAAUGUAGAUGUAAAGGACUGUUUUUUUAAUAGGUUUUGGCUUUGAGAACAAAAAUAAAGAGUACAUGUAUAUGAUAUUUCAUUGACUAUUGACAUUGUCACUUUCUGGUUAGUUUUUGAUGUUAAGUACGGUUCUGGAUGUUAAUAGAUGUUUUUGCAAGUCA